UACGGCGGGUGCAAACGUUGCUCGGAAUCAUUGGGCGUAAAGCGCACGUAGGCGGACUGCUAAGUCGGAUGUGAAAGCCCUCGGCUUAACCGAGGAAGUGCAUUCGAAACUGACAGUCUUGAGUAUGGAAGAGGGUCGCGGAAUUCCCGGUGUAGAGGUGAAAUUCGUAGAUAUCUGGAGGAACACCGGUGGCGAAGGCGGCAUCCUGGACCGGUAUUGACGCUGAGGCGCGAAAGCCAGGGGAGCAAACGGG
rnacentral:rRNA from 1 species